ACUCAAAUGAAUUGACGGGGGCCCGCACAAGCGGCGGAGCAUGCGGAUUAAUUCGAUGCAACGCGAAGAACCUUACCUGGAUUUGACAUAUGGAGAAAUCUCCUGGAGACAGGAGGUCCGUAAGGGCUCUAUACAGGUGGUGCAUGGCUGUCGUCAGCUCGUGUCGUGAGAUGUUGGGUUAAGUCCCGCAACGAGCGCAACCCUCGUCCUAUGUUGCCAGCAGGUAAAGCUGGGGACUCAUAGGAGACUGCCGGGGUAACUCGGAGGAAGGUGGGGAUGAGGUCAAGUCAUCAUGCCCCUUAUGUCCAGGGCUUCACGCAUGCUACAAUGGCCGGUACAAAGGGCUGCGAAACCGCAAGGUGGAGCGAAUCCCAAAAAGCCGGUCUCAGUUCGGAUUGGGGUCUGCAACUCGACCCCAUGAAGUCGGAGUCGCUAGUAAUCGCAGAUCAGCAACGCUGCGGUGAAUACGUUCCCGGGCCUUGUACACACCGCCCGU
rnacentral:rRNA from 1 species